GCCUGGCACAGGCCUGGAACCCUUACCAAGUUACCUUGGAUGAGUAGACUCAAGGUGUGGGGAGAGCAGGAGACUGGCUUCCUCAAGUGCAUCACCGCAGUGACAGGACACACAGAGGCGCCUGCUCCCACACCACCCCCGAGGAAUGCGCGGAGCGUCGUGUGCGGGAAACGGUCAGGAGUCUUGCUCACGUGUUCCUGAAGCUGAGUGCCACACGCGGGGCUGCUUGCUCUGAGAGUCGGUGAGGGGGAGAGGAGGGGGAGAGGAAGGGGAGAGGGCCACAACGCCCAGGUCCCCAGACCUGAGCCACAGUGCUGAGGACAUUGGAUCCCACGCCGUGCUGCCCUGUGCUGCUGGAGAUGCGGGGCACGAGACUCGAU
rnacentral:lncRNA from 1 species